rnacentral:rRNA from 1 species
AGUCGAACGAUGACUCUCUAGCUUGCUAGAGAUGAUUAGUGGCGGACGGGUGAGUAACAUUUAGGAAUCUACCUAGUAGUGGGGGAUAGCUCGGGGAAACUCGAAUUAAUACCGCAUACGACCUACGGGUGAAAGGGGGCGCAAGCUCUUGCUAUUAGAUGAGCCUAAAUCAGAUUAGCUAGUUGGUGGGGUAAAGGCCCACCAAGGCGACGAUCUGUAACUGGUCUGAGAGGAUGAUCAGUCACACCGGAACUGAGACACGGUCCGGACUCCUACGGGAGGCAGCAGUGGGGAAUAUUGGACAAUGGGGGCAACCCUGAUCCAGCCAUGCCGCGUGUGUGAAGAAGGCCUUUUGGUUGUAAAGCACUUUAAGCAGGGAGGAGAGGCUAAUGGUUAAUACCCAUUAGAUUAGACGUUACCUGCAGAAUAAGCACCGGCUAACUCUGUGCCAGCAGCCGCGGUAAUACAGAGGGUGCGAGCGUUAAUCGGAAUUACUGGGCGUAAAGCGAGUGUAGGUGGCUCAUUAAGUCACAUGUGAAAUCCCCGGGCUUAACCUGGGAACUGCAUGUGAUACUGGUGGUGCUAGAAUAUGUGAGAGGGAAGUAGAAUUCCAGGUGUAGCGGUG